rnacentral:rRNA from 1 species
GUGUCAGCCGCCGCGGUAAUACGAAGGGGGCUAGCGUUGUUCGGAAUUACUGGGCGUAAAGCGCACGUAGGCGGACUGAUAAGUCAGGGGUGAAAUCCCGGGGCUCAACCCCGGAACUGCCUUUGAUACUGUCAGUCUAGAGUUCGAGAGAGGUGAGUGGAAUUCCGAGUGUAGAGGUGAAAUUCGUAGAUAUUCGGAGGAACACCAGUGGCGAAGGCGGCUCACUGGCUCGAUACUGACGCUGAGGUGCGAAAGCGUGGGGAGCAAACAGGAUUAGAAACCCCAGUAGUCC